GAAGAUCAGCUAGGAAAAUAUGAUCUCACUAUAGGGAAGGACUUCUUAAACAGGAAACAAAAGUACUAACCACGAAGAAAAGAAUAUUACAUUAUACCCCCUUAGAGGAGGCAUUUUCUCUUAAGCUAUUUUGCAACAUCCACGCUUCUAGGCUCUUUCUUCCUUAAUUUGGGAAGGAGAAAAUAUUAGUGAAUGUCAACUUAAAAUGAAAAAGGGGUUGAAAAGUCUGUGCUGAAAUCUGACCUCGAUCUCACCCGAGGUCAGAUUUUUAGGUUCAGACCUUCUUUUCUUCUCUCUUUCCUUCUAGUUCCUAAGUGAGAAUAAUAAAAGUGUUAAGAUACCUUUUCCCAUUUUAUCUAUGGAUAUAGAAAACAAAUUUGUUUAUUGUGUUAAAAAACUACGAGUUUCAGAGGAGUUUCAAUUAUAAACUUAAGGAUUUAACUUUUUUUUCUUUUCAGAUUUUUAUUUAAAUUCUAGUUAGUUAACAUGCAGUGCAACAUUGGUUUCAGCAGCAGGAUUCAGUGAUUCAUCAAUUGCAUACAGUACCCAGGGCUCAUCACAACAGGUGCCCUCCUGAUACUCAUCACCCAUCCAGCCCAUCCCCCACCCUCAGUUUGUUCUAGAUCUUUAAGGGUCUCUUAAGGUUUGUUUCCCUCUUUUUUCUUUUUUUUCCCCUGCUUUCCAUAUGUUAAUUUAUUUUGUUUCUUAAAUUCCACAUGUGAGUGAAAACAUAGGAUAUUUGUCUUUCUCUGACUUAUUUCACUUAGCAUAACACACUCUAGCUCCAUCCAUGUCAUUGCAAAUGGCAAGCUUUCAUUCUUUUUGAUGGCCGAGUAAUACUCCAUUGUAUAUAUAUACCACAUUUUCUUUAUCCAUUCAUCCAUCGAUGGACAUUUGGGAAAGAUGUUAACUUUUCACAUGAAAACGUCAGUAUUUCUUCUUAUAAAAUAACUCUUCUCCCCAGCACUUUUCGCAGAAAAUGUCUACAAGCAAUGACAAUCCAUGAGCAGUGAGAAUUGCCAUCACCCAGAUUGUUUCCCAACCCUUUUCCGGAGAGCAAACUCGGCUAAUUUGGACAUUUGGAUAAGGGUUACGCUUUAAAAUAGAUCUGAGAGACAUAGCAACCAAUGGAAUCCUACUUCAGAUAGAAUAAAUUAUUGUAAAAAAGUAUUCGAGGCAAUUGAGGGGUUUUCUUUGUAAGCACUAGAUAUUGGAUGAUGUUACAGAUCAUCACUUCUAAAUUUAGGUGCGAGGAUCUUGUGUUUUGUUCAACUCUGCAUCUGUUGGGACUUUUGUGACAAUAUUCAUGGUUGACGUAAUACGUGGUUUCUUUACACUGUCCCCCUUCCGCCCAAUGUAGGCGCGGAGAGUGACACCCUGUGGGCGAGACGCUGUAACUGAGGAGGACUUGUGUAGCUUCCAUCCCGCCUCAGUCCCUUCCCUGCCUGCCUCCCCGACUUUUGUAAGUGAGCCCGGUUAUCGAAGCUAUUUCUCUUUGGGACAAAGGGUGACACAGACAGCGACUCCAGCGACUGAUCCGCAGGAACAGGCAGAGGGGUCGGCAAGCGGGGAGGGGCUCCCGGCCAGGUCUCCUCCUCCCACCCCGCCCCCAACCACCCUCGCCCGCGCCCGGGGAGAGCGUUGGACUCUGUCGGCACCUUGUGGCCAUUUUGGGUAAUGCAGCUAGAGCUUUGUUUUAUUUCCGGUUUCUAUCCGUCCGCUGCGAAGGUUUAAUAAUUGCUUAUAUAAAGAACACAAGAAAGAGCCCUGCUCCCACCGUCCUCCUCGACCGCCGAGCUCCCCCAUCGAUCACAAAGAAGCACGUUCACCAGUUUGGGGUGCAGCCAUCUGGAACUUCUUUAUACAAACAGAAACAUCAACGUGUACUCUCAGCCCCCACCCCCAACCCCCCACUUUAACUCAAAUGACCAGCGGUGAUGUUCUUCUCACGGUUCUCCUGCCUACUUUUCUCAUUAUCUAGCUUGGAACUCUUUCCUUGCUAACUAGCGCGGCUGAAACUUCUCGGCAGGUGCACCCUAGUGACCUGAGGCAGGUAACCUGAGACCAGACCUGUUCCUACACGGCAGCCCCUGCAUGUGAGCCUCUCCUUCAGUUACCCAUUUCUCGGUAAAUCACUCAUUCUCCUGGAGCCCUAAUGUCACCCUCCCUCCACGGCGCUGCGGAGAACAGAGGCAAGAGGGAAAUGACAGGCCCCGUGAACACAACCUUGGAAGAAUGGCCUCCUCCGUGCAGAAGGAGUAGAACCAGAGACCUUCCAAACUACUUUCGUAAACUCAGAAAGUAUCCUCGCCGGUUUCCUUCUGUUCUAUUCUGAUAACAGGGCAAGUUGGUAGUUUACACAUCGUGUUUGGACUUUCCAGCAUGAUUGAUUCAAAUGCCACUUUAAAAUAUUUUUAUUUAUGUGCUUGAUAAAAAAAAAAACCCAUCUUAUGUAAAGAAGUGACAAACUGGAGAUGAACAAACCACAGUAUAUUUGAAUUUAUGACUUUGUAUGUGAAUUUAAUAUAUUUUCAUUAAUUAUGCUACGAAGUCAA